UCAUGAGGUUUAUUCUGGGUCCGGAUGAACGCGGGCGGUGUGCCCUAAUACAUGCAAGUCGAACGCGUUGGCCCCAAUUGAUUGAUGGGUGCUUGCACCUGAUGAUUUUGGUCGCCAACGAGUGGCGGAGGGGUGAGUAACAAGUAGGUAACCUGCCCCAGAGCGGGGGACAACAUUUGGAAACAGAUGCUAAUACCGCAUAAAAACGUUGUUGCUUGAACAACGCUUAAAAGAAGGCUUCUCGCUAUCACUUCGGAUGGACUGCGGUGCAUUAGCUUGUUGGUGGGGUAACGGCCUACCAAGGCGAUGAUGCAUAGCGAGUUGAGAGACUGAUCGGCCACAAUGGGACUGAGACACGGCCCAUACUCCUACGGGAGGCAGCAGUAGGGAAUCUUCCACAAUGGGCGCAAGCCUGAUGGAGCAACACCGCGUGAGUGAAGAAGGGUUUCGGCUCGUAAAGCUCUGUUGUUAAAGAAGAACACGUAUGAGAGUAACUGUUCAUACGUUGACGGUAUUUAACCAGAAAGUCACGGCUAACUACGUGCCAGCAGCCGCGGUAAUACGUAGGUGGCAAGCGUUAUCCGGAUUUAUUGGGCGUAAAGAGAGUGCAGGCGGUUUUCUAAGUCUGAUGUGAAAGCCUUCGGCUUAACCGGAGAAGUGCAUCGGAAACUGGAUAACUUGAGUGCAGAAGAGGGUAGUGGAACUCCAUGUGUAGCGGUGGAAUGCGUAGAUAUAUGGAAGAACACCAGUGGCGAAGGCGGCUACCUGGUCUGCAACUGACGCUGAGACUCGAAAGCAUGGGUAGCGAACAGGAUUAGAUACCCUGGUAGUCCAUGCCGUAAACGAUGAGUGCUAGGUGUUGGAGGGUUUCCCGCCCUUCAGUGCCGGAGGCUAACGCAUUAAGCAACCCGCCCCUGGCCACCUGGCCAAACACCG
rnacentral:rRNA from 2 species